rnacentral:rRNA from 1 species
UACGUAGGGGGCAAGCGUUGUCCGGAAUUAUUGGGCGUAAAGAGCGCGUAGGCGGUCCGAUAAGUCGGCUGUGAAAGUCAAGGGCUCAACCCUUGAAAGCCGGCCGAUACUGUCGGACUAGAGUCCGGAAGAGGCAAGUGGAAUUCCCGGUGUAGCGGUGAAAUGCGCAGAUAUCAGGAAGAACACCCGUAGCUAAGGCGGCUCUCUAGUACGGUACUGACGCUGAGACGCGAAAGCGUGGGGAGCGAACAGG